CAUUAGCGUAUCCUAAAGUUGUUGCAGUUAAAAAGCUCGUAGUCGAAGUUACGGUUCGUUAAUUGUGAGGUCCGUCUCUAAGGAGGCGUGUAUUCUUCGAUUCGAGCCGCUUGCUUGUCAUUGUGAUCGCCGUCGCGGCGCUUGGAGGUCCAUUUGUUUGGCUUUUGGGUGCGGGCGGGUUACUUGUGGUUGCGUGACAUCUUUUACUUUGAAAAAAUUAGAGUGUUCAAAGCAGAUCGUUUACGGUCGUUGAAUAGUUCAGCAUGGGAUAAUGAAAUAGGACCAACAAUUUAUUUUAUUGGUUUUCGAAUUGUAGGUAAUGAUUAAAAGAAACAGUCGGGGAUGCUAGAAUUUACUAGUCAGAGGUGAAAUUCUUGGACCUAGUAAAGGCUAACUGAUGCGAAAGCGUUCAUCCAGGAUGUUUNCAUUGA
rnacentral:rRNA from 1 species